rnacentral:lncRNA from 1 species
CUUAAUAUAAUGUAUUGAUCCAACCAACCCUGUGAGACACUCACUUAUAACCUGGUUGAAUAAUAAUAAAUGACUGGUAACGAAUCGUGGAAGCAGAUAUUAGUUGGAAGUGUUGAACAAUAAAAAUAAAAUGUCAUAAUUGUAAAUUGCAUUAAUUAAUUAAAAAAAUUCAUAAUUCCUUUUUUCACUUCCUGUUGCUGCGCCCUGCUUCUCACCAAAAUCCCUCCACACUAUUCAUUUACCUUAAACUAAACCGUGAACUAAGCUCUUGUCUUAUCUUCAUGUUUGACUUGCCUUGCUCAUGUGGUUGGUUUGUUGAGAGAGAAAAACAUCACUCCAUGUAUAAUGCAACAAAGCUAUCUUCUACAAAUAAAUGCUCAAGCUUUUUUCUCCUUUUUAUAUAUAAUUUCAUUUCAAUCUCUUUUAUUCCAAUAUUCU